rnacentral:rRNA from 1 species
CCUACGGGCGGCAGCAGUCGAGAAUCAUUCACAAUGGGGGAAACCCUGAUGGUGCGACGCCGCGUGGGGGAAUGAAGGUCUUCGGAUUGUAAACCCCUGUCAUGUGGGAGCAAAUUAAAAAGAUAGUACCACAACAGGAAGAGACGGCUAACUCUGUGCCAGCAGCCGCGGUAAUACAGAGGUCUCAAGCGUUGUUCGGAAUCACUGGGCGUAAAGCGUGCGUAGGGUGUUUCGUAAGUCGUGUGUGAAAGGCGCGGGCUCAACCCGCGGACGGCACAUGAUACUGCGAGACUAGAGUAAGGGAGGGGGAACCGGAAUUCUCGGUGUAGCAGUGAAAUGCGUAGAUAUCGAGAGGAACACUCGUGGCGAAGGCGGGUUCCUGGACAUUAACUGACGCUGAGGCACGAAGGCCAGGGGAGCGAAAGGGAUUAGAUACCCGAGUAGUC